rnacentral:rRNA from 1 species
UACGUAGGGUGCAAGCGUUGUCCGGAAUUAUUGGGCGUAAAGAGCUCGUAGGCGGUUUGUCGCGUCUGCUGUGAAAACUCGGGGCUCAACUCCGAGCUUGCAGUGGGUACGGGCAGACUAGAGUGCGGUAGGGGAGACUGGAAUUCCGGGUGUAGCGGUGGAAUGCGUAGAGAUCCGGAAGAACACCGGUGGCGAAGGCGGCCUGCUGGGCAGUGGCUGACGCUGAUGCGCGACAGCGUGGGGAGCAAACAGG